rnacentral:rRNA from 1 species
AGUGGCAAACGGGUUAGUAACGCGUAGCUAUCUUCCCAAUACACGGGCAUAAUUCAGAGAAAUCUGAGCUAAUUCCCGAUAGUCCCUCCGGGGUAAAGGUGCAAACCGGUAUUGGAUGAGGCUGCGUCCUAUCAGCUUGUUGGUAAGGUAAUGGCUUACCAAGGCUAUGACGGGUAGGGGGUGUGAGAGCACGGCCCCCAACAAUAGCACUGAGACACGGGCUAUACUCCUACGGGAGGCAGCAGUCGAGAAUCUUCCGCAAUGGGCGAAAGCCUGACGGAGCGACGUCGCGUGUUCGAGGAAGCCGAAAGGUGUAAAGAACUUUUCUAGGGGAAGAAGUUUCACUUUGUGAAAUUGACGGUACCUUAGGAAUAAGGGGCCUCUAAACUCGUGCCAGCAGAGGCGGUAAUACGAGUGCCCCAAGCGUUAUCCGGAUUCACUGGGCGUAAAGAGUCUGUAGGCGGUUAAGAAAGUUUCUGGUUAAAUACCCGAGGCUUAACUUUGGGAAUGCUAGAAAUACUUCUUAGCUAGAGGAUGUCAGGGGCUGUUGGAACUGACGGUGUAGG